UACGUAGGGUGCGAGCGUUAAUCGGAAUACUGGGCGUAAAGCGUGCGCAGGCGGUGAUGUAAGACCGAUGUGAAAUCCCCGGGCUUAACCUGGGAACUGCAUUGGUGACUGCAUUGCUGGAGUAUGGCAGAGGGGGUGGAAUUCCACGUGUAGCAGUGAAAUGCGUAGAGAUGUGGAGGAACACCGAUGGCGAAGGCAGCCCCUGGGCCAAUACUGACGCCUCAUGCACAAAGCGUGGGGAGCAAACCAGG
rnacentral:rRNA from 1 species